GAGCCGUGUGGUCAGCGCAAAGCGAACUAUUCUUUCGCCUUUUACUAAAGAAUACCGUGUGCUGGCCACAUUAAAGCGGCAUAUCAAAAUUUUUGGGCCGCCUCUGCAAAGGGGCAC
rfam:Selaginella moellendorffii unplaced genomic scaffold SELMOscaffold_25, whole genome shotgun sequence.